CUGAAUACCAGGAGACUAUGACAACUUCCCAGACUUACGACGCUCACAACUUUCUUCCAUUAACUCUCCUCGAGCCUAAUCAACAUUACUCUCGCCACGACCAAACAGCUCUUCAACUCGUGUAACUGACCUGGGAAAGACCUUAAGUGCAAUCAGGUCGAUCUGUACGUCUGCUAUCUAUUCUGUCAUGGGAAUGCAUCACCUUGUUUAUUUUUCUGCUUUUUUAUAGUUUUGUAAAAUCGUUCAUUAAGAUCAGAAGAACAAGUUAUUUCCAGUUCAGCAAUGGGCUCUAAUUAGCUGCUUGCCCGUUUGUGCUUAAGAAUUUGAAUCGGGUUUAGAGAGAGAAUAUUCUUGUUUGAUCCAUCCUUCCAGUGGUUCAGACAUCUAAAGCUCUCUGCUAAUAUAUACAAUGGUGUUGUUUCCUUUGCUACC